rnacentral:rRNA from 1 species
AUACGGAGGGUGCAAGCGUUGUUCGGAAUUACUGGGCGUAAAGGGCGCGCAGGCGGUUUGGUAAGUCAGAUGUGAGAGUCCAGGGCUUAACCCUGGAAGUGCAUAUGAAACUGUCAGACUUGAGUAUCAGAGGGGAAAGUGGAAUUCCCGGUGUAGAGGUGAAAUUCGUAGAUAUCGGGAGGAAUACCGGUGGCGAAGGCGACUUUCUGGCUGAAUACUGACGCUGAGGCGCGAAAGCGUGGGGAGCAAACAGGAUUAGAAACCCGGGUAGUCC